UUAGUAAGUAUAGUCAAUAGAAGAAUCAUAAAAUUAUAUCAUUUAGGUUUUAUGUGUUGAAACAUUUCUACGAACGAAUCGAUAAAACCUGAAAACCUAGCUAGGAGCUACACGUAGCAUACCUUGGUACAGAUUUUAUCGAAUAAAGUAGAGGACUACACGCAAACUCAGACGCGAGGAUACCAAUACCGAAACGCAUUUUUUAACAGGACGCACAUAGCGUGUCACGGUAUUGCAGAUAAACAUCGUAAGAAACGAUAUCAUCGAAAACGAUAAACCGAUAUCUACCAACGUACUUAUCACGAUGAAUCUUAUCUUCGCCCUUCAUAAGAAAUUCAUUUAUAUUCACAGAAACCACCCAGACACGAGAGAAAGAAAACGAAGAAACAUCGAAUACUAUAACGCGACGCACGAUGAGACACGAGGAGGCUAUAAUUCGUGGCGACACGCUUACGAAAUUCUCUCGAGUUUGGACUGAUUACGGGAGGAGUUAAGAAGAAACGCGAUACUCGAGAAAAUUAUGAAUUUACAAUUCGGCCGGUAUCUUUCUUCCUGCGAUCCGAUCGGAGAUCGAGAAAAGAAAGGAAAAGAGAAGAAGUGGAAAAAAAGAAAGAAAAAACGGUAGGAUCACCGGGCCUCGGGGCCGAUCUUAUCCCCGGCGUCGUGGCAUCGGCUGCCUACGCACGAACGUCCCCGGUGUCUUGACAGACGUCUGAAUGUGCAUGCGCGCAGCUGCAUUUCACGCGAGACACCCACCGGCAAUUAUGCGCAUGGUGAAACGCACGAGGGUGAAAAAGAAAUCGCGAAAGCCCAUGGCGGGAGCCAGGCCGCGUAUAACCGCGCACCAGAAGGCUGCGCGUAUACUCUAUACGUGGAAAAGACCACGACGACUAUUUGUCAACGGUUGAGAGACGGCAGCGGAUCUUACCCACGGACUCCUCUUCUCUUCUCUUCUCUUCUCUUCUCUUCUCCUCUCUUCUCUUCCCUUCGCUUCUCUUCUCUUCUUUUCUCUUCUCUUCUCGUGGAACGGAGAAAAAGCGGUGGAAAGAGAGAUAGGAGGAGAGAGGACACUUCCCCUUCGCCAGGCCAAGAGAACGGGGCACGUUCUUCUUACGUGGAUCGCGGGUACAAAUCGUCGCGGUAAGAUCAAAAACCAAGCGUACGUUCGCUUUCAGUGCCGUGCCGACAACGAGGCGACCAGAUAAUCCGCCGUAUAAUUUCGUCACCGAGGAACGUGGCUCGCUAUAGCUGAAAACCCCUUUUAGAUCCGGUGGAAACAUCGAUUCCUUGUGUAAAUAUAACGUCAGAGAAAAAUAUGAAGUGGUCGAUUCGAACAAGAUGCUUUUUCAGGAAUGACGUUGCUCCGAUACAGGUAAUACGUAUCGUACGAUAUAAGAAAGUCGAGACGUACGAUUGUGUGCCUACUGACAGAGAAUUUGAUAGUAACGAACAGUUUUGUUCGGUAUCGCGUGUAAAAUCGAAACGAUUACUUCUGAUAGACUACGAACAGCUGGGCUUUCAGAUUUAUGAUGUACCAAGAGGAACAACGAGAUUGCACAACGGUGCAUUUCAAUUCCAAGCUGUUACUACUCGACAGCCAGUUUUAUUACGCAUCUGGUUGAUGAAAUAAUAGAGUCGAGAUCUAAUACGGCCGUCUGGUAUUUAAAUAUGGACCGAUCGUGACUAUUGGUAACCGCAUGAGCGUGAACGAGAACCAUCGAUAUACGUUGCUCCAUACUACGCGAAGAAAUAUAAAAACGCAGGGUUGUCCGGCCUCCUUCGAACAUUGUGCGUUCGCGAGCGCAGCCGCAGUUCGAAUGCCAUACAUUUUCUCUCUCUCCUGUUCGCGCUAGUCUCGCGUGCUGCUCUAGUGGGAAGCAAUUUUUCUAGAGGCGGGCUAAAAUAACCGUUCUCUCCGCGUAGGUACGAGGUUGACGCGGUAUCAGCCUUGCAAGGCUGCUUCUGACAAGGCGACCUCGUUCGAAGUCAGAUAGUAAACUCGUUGUAACGUGACAUUCUCGAGCGUGCAUUCAACGAAUCGCCGGUGUCCAGACAAGCCACUCCUCUACAAGUGCUCUAUAUUGUGAACCGGAGUAAAAGAGAACGUUUAUAUAUGGAUAGAAGCUAUAAGAUUAAUACAAGGGACAUUUUGGUCAAAAAAACCAGCCUAUCAAGUAUACGUCGAAGUGUUCAUCGUCGAACAGGAUGCGUAUAUUCCAACUAAUAUAUUUAUUAGACAGAAAGGAGCACUUCUGGUCGAGCUUUCUCGACCUUACCCCAAGGAUGUGCAGAUCGACAUAAUUUACUUGUAAUUGAAGUCGCAGAUGCAGAAGGAGGUUCCCAGAAAUUCGAUAACUUCCUUUUAACAGUUGAUCGACGGAGUUCAUCGAGUGGAGCAGACAAAAAAUGAUAAGCGGGAGCGUCGAUUUAAAAAUUAUGGCUUUAAAGCUAUGGGAACCUCUGCGAAGUCAAAGUAAAAGUAUUCCCGCUGCAGAACCCGAAAAUCUACAAGAAGUGAAGGAACGGAAAAUCACGAGGUGCACUAUUAAAAGAGCAGUUCGCAGCAACAUAAGUGUAGCAAAAAUCGAAUGUCUGAGACGAAAGCGGUGCAAAUAACGAUAACCGAACAACGGAAGAAAAUACCAGGAAUAAGUAUGUUACGCGGUCUGGCCGAAGAGUACAAUUUUCCGAUUGGUUUCAGGCAAGUUUCGCUUAAGAGUUGUAAAUUAUCGGACACAGGAUGUAUCGGUAACUUUUAAAAUAGCGACGACCAAGGACAAAAUAGUGUAAACAAUUUUAUAAAUAUAACUUAAUAAAAACGUUAUCACUGAUAGGGGCGGGGGUUGUAGCGGCACAUUAGUAAAGAACAAUUCAAAUCAUAUUGUUGUUUUGCCUCGGAGUAUCGAGAUCGUUAGGAUACACGUAACGUAAUAAUAAAUACACUCCGGGCAAAACAGUGUCGCCGCUAUGGACACCCGUCGAACAAGGACAAAUUUGAAUUUUCCAGCGCUUCCCCGACCAGCAUAAAUUGACACGAUCGUGGUCGAAUAGGUAUAUACCGAGUAUCUACCGAUUAUCGAUCAAUAUCUACGAGUUAUCAGCGAGCAAUUAUACAAUGUCUUAGCGAAUACGUUUGUACAAGCGUCUCUCGACAGUAUUUAUGUUUAUUAAUUUAUUUAAUUCUUUUAAAUACAUUUGACGAUUUGCAACAGCAA